CUAAGAAUCUUCCGCAAUGGGCGAAAGCCUGACGGAGCGACGCCGCGUGGACGAUGAAGGUCUUCGGAUUGUAAAGUCAUUUCGGGGAGGAAGAAUAAGGCAGCUCUAACAGAGCUGUUGAUGACGACCCUCCCAAAAGAAGCUCCGGCUAACUACGUGCCAGCAGCCGCGGCAAUACGUAGGGAGUAAGCGUUGUUCGGAAUUACUGGGCGUAAAGGGUGUGUAGGCGGGAGCGCAAGUUGGGGGUGAAAUCUACGGGCUCGACUCGUAAACUGCCCUCAAAACUGCGUUUCUUGAGUAUGGGAGAGGAGUCUGGAAUUCCCAGUGUAGGGGUGAAAUCUGUAGAUAUUGGGAAGAACAUCGAGUGGCGAAGGCGAGACUCUGGCCUGAUACUGACGCU
rnacentral:rRNA from 1 species